rnacentral:lncRNA from 1 species
GGGUGCCCGCGUCCCGGCCCGGAAGAGAGGCGGGACGACGGCGCGUCCUCUCCCCGCAAGAUUACCUCGCAGCGCGUAGCCGGCUUUGUGUUUCCCCUCCCUCCUUCUCGGCAGCCGCCCGGGCUGCAGCAGCCGCCGGAUCCGCCGCUGCGGCCGCCUCUUAAGCGCCGCAGAGCCCCAGAGGGUGUGGAUUCUGCAAUGCUGCACAGAAACCUACUGCAGCCUCAGACCAACAGCAGCAGCAGCAGCGGCGGCGGCGGCAGCAGCAGCAGCAGCAUUAGCAGCAGCAGCUUCUCUCAAUGCUGAGUAUUGAAUACAGAUAAUCAUGAGGCCCAAGACCCUAAGGAACAGUGCAGCCAGGAGUCGGAAGGAGCCUGGGUUUCUGAAUCAUCACAUGGAGGGGAGCUGUCUUCAGCUGGGAGAGCUGUCUUCAGUUGGAUACUGGGAGGAAGAAAGGGAGCUGGUUAGGAAGCAAACUUGAGUUUCCCAUGCUCUGUGGCUGAGCAAGUCACUUCACCAUUCUCAGGAUGGAAGUGGGGAUGGAGGUGGCAUCGGCCUCAUUUGAACCACAUGGACUAAGAGGGGCUAUGGGAGUAUUCCCCAAAGGAAGACUGAGGGGCGUUACUAGAAAAUGGGAGAAUGGAAGCAGAGUGGGCAAAACCAACAGAUGUUCCCUAUAGUAAAUAAAAAAUUUGGACAAUUAUUAGUGAGCAAGUACUUAUAACAUAUAUGGCACAUGGGAUUGUGACUCACCAGUGUGUUAGCACAAUAUGGUCAAAAACCUCUGAUCCAAUUCAACCUACUCAUCUUAACGAUUUUAUCAGCAUUUAAUAAGUUUGUUUUGGCCAUCAUGUGUUAUAGUUUUGUUUGUGGUUUUGACACCUCAUUAGAGGUUUCAUCAGUGUAAGGAGCCAACCUAAGAGCUCUUCUCACAAGUUUCCCAAGAGAGAAAUUGCCCCUCCAAAUGUGAGGAGUCUCACUUUAUAUAGAUAGCAUCCACACUUCUUGCAGUGGAAAACAAACCUUAUAAAAUGUAAUACGUUUGGUUUCCUAACUUUUUCAUGACCCUGGGGUGGUAGAAGGAAGUGCAAGUUUUAUCACUUGGAUUUAGAGACAAGGAAAUUGAAAUGGAGAGAGAAUUGGGCUCACAUGCAGGCAGCAUGUCUAGCUGCCUCCAUCGUGUGAUCUGAGGCACCCCAUGAGGCCUAUGAUUACUGUAAACCUCUAAAAUAAAUAAAAAAUAAAACAAU